AAAUUGAAGAGUUUGAUCAUGGCUCAGAUUGAACGCUGGCGGCAGGCCUAACACAUGCAAGUCGAACGGUAACAGGAAGCAGCUUGCUGCUUUGCUGACGAGUGGCGGACGGGUGAGUAAUGUCUGGGAAACUGCCUGAUGGAGGGGGAUAACUACUGGAAACGGUGGCUAAUACCGCAUAACGUCGCAAGACCAAAGAGGGGGACCUUCGGGCCUCUUGCCAUCAGAUGUGCCCAGAUGGGAUUAGCUUGUUGGUGAGGUAACGGCUCACCAAGGCGACGAUCCCUAGCUGGUCUGAGAGGAUGACCAGCCACACUGGAACUGAGACACGGUCCAGACUCCUACGGGAGGCAGCAGUGGGGAAUAUUGCACAAUGGGCGCAAGCCUGAUGCAGCCAUGCCGCGUGUAUGAAGAAGGCCUUCGGGUUGUAAAGUACUUUCAGCGGGGAGGAAGGUGUUGUGGUUAAUAA
rnacentral:rRNA from 3 species